rnacentral:rRNA from 1 species
GAUGAACGCUGGCGGCGUGCCUAAUACAUGCAAGUCGAGCGAACAGACGAGGAGCUUGCUCCUCUGACGUUAGCGGCGGACGGGUGAGUAACACGUGGAUAACCUACCUAUAAGACUGGGAUAACUUCGGGAAACCGGAGCUAAUACCGGAUAAUAUAUUGAACCGCAUGGUUCAAUAGUGAAAGACGGUUUUGCUGUCACUUAUAGAUGGAUCCGCGCCGCAUUAGCUAGUUGGUAAGGUAACGGCUUACCAAGGCAACGAUGCGUAGCCGACCUGAGAGGGUGAUCGGCCACACUGGAACUGAGACACGGUCCAGACUCCUACGGGAGGAAGCAGUAGGGAAUCUUCCGCAAUGGGCGAAAGCCUAACGGAGCAACGCCGCGUGAGUGAUGAAGGUCUUCGGAUCGUAAAGCUCUGUUAUUAGGGAAGAACAAAUGUGUAAGUAACUAUGCACGUCUUGACGGUACCUAAUCAGAAAGCCACGGCUAACUACGUG